rnacentral:rRNA from 1 species
ACACGUAAGUGGCAAGCGUUGUUCGGAUUCAUUGGGCGUAAAGGGCGUGUAGGCGGCGUAUCAAGCUUGGUGUGAAGUAUCCCGGCUCAACCGGGAAGGCGCGCUGAGAACUGAUAUGCUAGAGUUCAAGAGGGGGAGUUAGAAUUCCAGGUGUAGGGGUGAAAUCUGUAGAUAUCUGGAAGAAUACCGGUGGCGAAGGCGAGCUCCUGGCAAUGAACUGACGCUGAGGCGCGAAAGCGUGGGUAGCAAACAGGAUUAGAUACCCUGGUAGUCCACGCUGUAAACGACGUGCACUAAGUGUUUGGGGGUUACCCUGAGUGCUGAAGCUAACGUAGUAAGUGCACCGCCUGGGGAGUAUGCUCGCAAGGGUGAA